rnacentral:lncRNA from 1 species
UUAAUGGGUGAGAAAGUAGUGGCAGAACUGGUGAGUAACUCGUCCAGGCUCCUCUGUUGAAGGACUGUCUCUGAGCAUCAUGAAUCUCCACGUGAGGCUGGCCACCUCGCACCACCUGCAGCCGUUCUUCCAUGCUGUGGCCCAAACUCUUGCUUUCUGGGAAGCAGAACUUGGAUUUGAAGGGUGGCAGAGAGACACGAGAGACCUGGAGAGAAGGGCCAGCCGGGGCGCAGGUGCAUUUGGUCAGCAGAAAGGCAGGACCGGAGAUCUGCACGGGACACGGGAGAGAGGCUGGUAAGGCCGAGAACUGUAGGAAAGAGUAGCUAACCAUGUCAGGAGCAUGUUUCUCAAAUUGGCCACGACGAACCCCCGGAGUGAUCAUGAUGGAGAAAAGACCACAAUUAGAAGACACUGAGAGGAGCUUCAAAGGACUCCAUUGGCUUCCUCUAGCUCUGUAAAAAGUCCAAGAGAUAGGUUUCCCGAGCCAUCUGGAGCUCCUCUUCGGCAGGGUUGA